UACACACCGCCCGUCACACCACGAAAGUGGUCUUAACCAGAAGUCAUUGAGCUAACCGCAAGGAGGCAGAUGACCAAGGUCGGGGCCGUGAUUGGGGUG
rnacentral:rRNA from 1 species